UAAAAUUUAUCUGGCAAUCACACCACGCGACAGGAAACUCUUCUGCCAGCCAGUGCCAGCCGCAAUCAGUAGAGUAACGUGGUUUGGCGAAGUAGGUUGCUGUUCUGUGUGCUAAUGCUGUUCGGUGUGCUACUGUUUUUGUGUGCUGGUGAAGGUGAUUGUUGUUAAGGUUCCUGUUUAUUCUGUAACCACCAGAGGAAAAAUUCAUGAAUACAUGGAAAAGACGUUCGAAUUCCGUGAUAGAGAGAGCACAUUUAGAUUUACGUCAGCGAGUGAAAUUCUUUUGGAAUAUCCCCGGUUUAUUGAUGUUGAAGAAGGAUCGCUGAUUCUUCUUGACUUUCAUCGUUCGUAUCCGGACACGCAUUAUUGUAAGGAAUGCACCAGCUCACUCUUUCUUGGAAAAAUAUCCUCCCUCUCAUUCCUGGAAACAAGUCAUUUACCUUUCCAUCCUUUCAUUACGCUCACCUUGCGUUGGUGAUCGCGUUGACUUUGUUUGUCGUA